rnacentral:rRNA from 1 species
GGUUAAGCGACUAAGCGUACACGGUGGAUGCCCUGGCAGUCAGAGGCGAUGAAGGACGUGCUAAUCUGCGAAAAGCGUCGGUAAGGUGAUAUGAACCGUUAUAACCGGCGAUGUCCGAAUGGGGAAACCCAGUGUGAUUCGUCACACUAUCGUUAACUGAAUACAUAGGUUAACGAGGCGAACCGGGGGAACUGAAACAUCUAAGUACCCCGAGGAAAAGAAAUCAACCGAGAUUCCCCCAGUAGCGGCGAGCGAACGGGGAGCAGCCCAGAGUCUGAAUCAGCUUGUGUGUUAGUGGAACGGUCUGGAAAGUCCGACGGUACAGGGUGAUAGUCCCGUACACCAAAAUGCACAGGUUGUGAACUCGAAGAGUAGGGCGGGACACGUGGUAUCCUGUCUGAAUAUGGGGGGACCAUCCUCCAAGGCUAAAUACUCCUGACUGACCGAUAGUGAACCAGUACCGUGAGGGAAAGGCGAAAAGAACCCCGGCGAGGGGAGUGAAAAAGAACCUGAAACCGUGUACGUACAAGCAGUGGGAGCACCUUCGGGUGUGACUGCGUACCUUUUGUAUAAUGGGUCAGCGACUUAUAUUCUGUAGCAAGGUUAACCGUAUAGGGGAGCCGCAGGGAAACCGAGUCUUAACUGGGCGUUAAGUUGCAGGGUAUAGACCCGAAACCCGGUGAUCUAGCCAUGGGCAGGUUGAAGGUUGGGUAACACUAACUGGAGGACCGAACCGACUAAUGUUGAAAAAUUAGCGGAUGACUUGUGGCUGGGGGUGAAAGGCCAAUCAAACCGGGAGAUAGCUGGUUCUCCCCGAAAGCUAUUUAGGUAGCGCCUCGUGAACUCAUCUUCGGGGGUAGAGCACUGUUUCGGCUAGGGGGUCAUCCCGACUUACCAACCCGAUGCAAACUACGAAUACCGAAGAAUGUUAUCACGGGAGACACACGGCGGGUGCUAACGUCCGUCGUGAAGAGGGAAACAACCCAGACCGCCAGCUAAGGUCCCAAAGUCAUGGUUAAGUGGGAAACGAUGUGGGAAGGCACAGACAGCCAGGAUGUUGGCUUAGAAGCAGCCAUCAUUUAAAGAAAGCGUAAUAGCUCACUGGUCGAGUCGGCCUGCGCGGAAGAUGUAACGGGGCUAAACCAUGCACCGAAGCUGCGGCAGCGACACUAUGUGUUGUUGGGUAGGGGAGCGUUCUGUAAGCCUGCGAAGGUGUGCUGUGAGGCAUGCUGGAGGUAUCAGAAGUGCGAAUGCUGACAUAAGUAACGAUAAAGCGGGUGAAAAGCCCGCUCGCCGGAAGACCAAGGGUUCCUGUCCAACGUUAAUCGGGGCAGGGUGAGUCGACCCCUAAGGCGAGGCCGAAAGGCGUAGUCGAUGGGAAACAGGUUAAUAUUCCUGUACUUGGUGUUACUGCGAAGGGGGGACGGAGAAGGCUAUGUUAGCCGGGCGACGGUUGUCCCGGUUUAAGCAUGUAGGCUGAUUGUCCAGGCAAAUCCGGAUAAUCAAGGCUGAGGUGUGAUGACGAGGCACUACGGUGCUGAAGUAACAAAUGCCCUGCUUCCAGGAAAAGCCUCUAAGCAUCAGGUAACAUCAAAUCGUACCCCAAACCGACACAGGUGGUCAGGUAGAGAAUACCAAGGCGCUUGAGAGAACUCGGGUGAAGGAACUAGGCAAAAUGGUGCCGUAACUUCGGGAGAAGGCACGCUGGUGUGUAGGUGAAGUCCCUGCGGAUGGAGCUGAGACCAGUCGAAGAUACCAGCUGGCUGCAACUGUUUAUUAAAAACACAGCACUGUGCAAACACGAAAGUGGACGUAUACGGUGUGACGCCUGCCCGGUGCCGGAAGGUUAAUUGAUGGGGUUAUCCGUAAGGAGAAGCUCUUGAUCGAAGCCCCGGUAAACGGCGGCCGUAACUAUAACGGUCCUAAGGUAGCGAAAUUCCUUGUCGGGUAAGUUCCGACCUGCACGAAUGGCGUAAUGAUGGCUAGGCUGUCUCCACCCGAGACUCAGUGAAAUUGAACUCGCUGUGAAGAUGCAGUGUACCCGCGGCAAGACGGAAAGACCCCGUGAACCUUUACUAUAGCUUGACACUGAACAUUGAGCCUUGAUGUGUAGGAUAGGUGGGAGGCUUUGAAGCGUGGACGCCAGUCUGCGUGGAGCCAACCUUGAAAUACCACCCUUUAAUGUUUGAUGUUCUAACGUUGGCCCCUUACCGGGGUUGCGGACAGUGUCUGGUGGGUAGUUUGACUGGGGCGGUCUCCUCCCAAAGCGUAACGGAGGAGCACGAAGGUUAGCUAAUCCUGGUCGGACAUCAGGAGGUUAGUGCAAUGGCAUAAGCUAGCUUGACUGCGAGCGUGACGGCGCGAGCAGGUGCGAAAGCAGGUCAUAGUGAUCCGGUGGUUCUGAAUGGAAGGGCCAUCGCUCAACGGAUAAAAGGUACUCCGGGGAUAACAGGCUGAUACCGCCCAAGAGUUCAUAUCGACGGCGGUGUUUGGCACCUCGAUGUCGGCUCAUCACAUCCUGGGGCUGAAGUAGGUCCCAAGGGUAUGGCUGUUCGCCAUUUAAAGUGGUACGCGAGCUGGGUUUAGAACGUCGUGAGACAGUUCGGUCCCUAUCUGCCGUGGGCGCUGGAGAAUUGAGGGGGGCUGCUCCUAGUACGAGAGGACCGGAGUGGACGCAUCACUGGUGUUCGGGUUGUCAUGCCAAUGGCACUGCCCGGUAGCUAAAUGCGGAAGAGAUAAGUGCUGAAAGCAUCUAAGCACGAAACUUGCCCCGAGAUGAGUUCUCCCUGAGACUUUAAGUCUCCUGAAGGAACGUUGAAGACGACGACGUUGAUAGGCCGGGUGUGUAAGCGCAGCGAUGCGUUGAGCUAACCGGUACUAAUGAACCGUGAGGCUUAACCUU